GCCUUCGUGGUGUAGUGGUCAGCACGCUCGGCGCGUAUUCGAGAGGUCCGUGGUUCGAAUCCCGGAGAAGGCA
rnacentral:tRNA from 1 species